AAGACCUAAAGAGACCAUGAGACAGUCAACAACACAAAAGCAUGAGAUGCUCUGCAGCAACAGUUCUCCAGGGCUGAGAUCAAGUCCUGUCUCCUCUCUAAUCCAACGCCCGUCAUUCGCACUGACAGAAGUGAACCUUCAGAAUCCAAGAGUCAUUCGCCAGAAAUGUUACAAGAGCAAAGUGUGCGUUUUAUUAUCCCCCAGAAGGUGCAUGCGGGUGCUGGGGAUAAAACCACGCAGCAGAGCCCCUGCUUGGUGUGCACAAGUCCCCGGGCUCAGGCUCCAGGGAAGAAAUGGGGUGUGGGGACAGAAUUUUCUGUUUCUCUGUCUAACAGUAAUUCUGCCUGUCUGCCCCAAGUGAAUGAAGCUCAACAAGGACACAAUGGAAGUGAGACGAAGCAGAGAGGCUCACAGAAAGGCUCACUCCUGCCUUCUGCUCCUGGCUUGCAAGAGUGAAAGUGUCAAACAUACUGAAUGUGGGGCAGCAGGCAUGGGGGAAUAAAGGGAGUGGGAGAAAACCCGCCAGAGCUCUGGUGUUCUGGGUGGGCAGACGCUGAGGACAGUUGCAGGCUCUCCUCGUGGCCUCAGGUAGGAGUCUCUCACUCUGAAAACAAACAAGAACCUUUCCAGAGAGUUUGAUCAUCUUUUAAGAUUCGGUCCACACCAUCAUCCGCCCAUUUUCAGGAGAAGAAAAGUAAAUAAAGGAGGGAUACUUCAGUAAGUGCCUCGCUCAGCUCUGAGGGAGACUGGCGCUCUGCUCAUUUUCCUCUGCUCAGGUUCCGCCCCACCCACUGAUGAGCUGGGAAGCCUCCUGUCUCAGUUAGGUUCUCCUGGAAGCCAUGAACACGCUGGUGUCUUUGCACGUUCUUUCUCUCCUCCCUGACUCCGUCUAAGCAGAUUGAAAACUUAGUUUCUGAGCCCUGAAGCAAACAGAGAAGAGCAGCCAGCCUCCCGCGGAAGCUCUUCACAGUCUCCCAGGGAUUUCCAGUCAUGGCCAACAUCUUUGUUACAGGACGGAAUCCAGCAACCACUCGCAACCUUAGCAUAAAGCAGUAGCCAAGUCUUACGGGCUAGUUACGAAUAUCAGAUGUGCGGUGACUAUCCACGGGCUUAGAGUGAGUUGGGCAUAUUUAAGUUAUGAAAGAUGUGUUUAUUUCCCCUGGACCCCAAAUAAAUGUCAGCGACAGCUCCAA
rnacentral:lncRNA from 1 species